GGGGUUUUAGGUACAUGUCCUCUAUCCCACUCAGAUCACCACGGCAGUUAUGAGUAUUGUAAACAACUCAUGCAUUAUCAUGCAGUAUAUGCAGAACCAGAACCUGCAAAAGCAGGCGAGGAGGAGACUGCAGUGCAGUGACGAGAGUGUUGAGGACAUGGACACAGACUUCUCUCAAAGCACUGGUUCUGGCAAUUUGGCUAUCCUGGUGGCAAUGGGGCAAGCUCAUACCUUGG